rnacentral:lncRNA from 1 species
UAAACCCUAAACCCUAAACCCUAAACCCUAAACCCUAAACCCUAAAACCUUAAACCCUAAACCCUAAACCCUAAACCCUAAACCCUAAAAACCCUAAACCCUAAACCCUAAACCCUAAACCCUAAACCCUAAAACCCUAAAACCCUAAACCCUAAACCCUAAACCCUAAACCCUAGACCCUAAACCCUAAACCCUAAACCCUAAACCCUAAACCCUAAACCCUAAACCCUAAACCCUAAACCUAAACCUAAACCUAAACCUAAACCCUAAACCCAAACCCCCUAACCCUCUAACCCCUUAAACCCUUAAACCCUAACCCCCUAACCCCUUAAACCCUAAAUCCUAAACCCUUAACACUAAACCCUAAACCCUACACCCGACACCCGACACCUGACACCCCAAACCCCAAACCCCAAACCCUAAAACCCCAAACCCCAAACCCUAAACCCUUAAACCCAAGCCGGGAUAUGCAAAGAAUAGAAUAAAUCCAAACCGGGAUAUGCGUGGAAUGGAAUAAACCUAAACCGGGAUAUGAGUGGAAUGGAAUAAACCUAAACCGGGAUAUCCGUGGAAUAGGAUAUCCCGAGCUGGAAUUACCAUGGCAGGUUGCCCGGUCCAAACUCGAAAAAAGUCUGAACCGGCCUCUAAACCAUCAAAAUCCGGCAAUAAAAUACUGAACCGGGACGGGAUUUGAAUGGGAUAUCCCCAGAAUACCUUAAAUCAAGUUGGUAUUUCCGCGACAUAGCUUAAUUCAGCUUGGGAUAUCCCCGAAAUAGCCCUCCAACAGGAUAAAGUAGAAAAUUAAUUAUCAAAGGGCAUAAUCUAUCAACUGUUUUCUUAUUCUCUCAAAAAAUAUAAUGGGUUCACAGUUAUUGUAGACUUUAUUGAAAAAAUAAUAGUUAAAAGUCACAUGUUUUCGUUUCACAUAUUAUUUGUAUCUGACAAUUUUUUUUUACACCUCUUUUUUAAAAUUUGGUCCUCUUAGUUAGANNN